UACGGGGGGGGUAAGCGUUGUUCGGAAUUACUGGGCGUAAAGGGCUCGUAGGCGGCCAACUAAGUCGGACGUGAAAUCCCUCAGCUUAACUGGGGAACUGCGUCCGAUACUGGAUGGCUUGGAUUUGGGAGAGGGAUGCGGAAUUCCAGGUGUAGCGGUGAAAUGCGUAGAUAUCAGGAAGAACACCAAUGGCGAAGGCAGCUCUCUGGGACGGUACUGACGCUGAGACGCGAAAGCGUGGGGAGCGAACAGG
rnacentral:rRNA from 1 species